UAGAAAUACAGUAAUAAGGUACAGCAUAAAUACAGUAAUGAGGUACAGCAGAAAUACAGUAAUGAAGUACAGUAGAAAUACAGUAAUGAGGUACAGUAUGAAUACAGUUGUGACGUACAGUACAUUAAAACAUUACUCACUGUGUUAAUCAUGUGGUGUUUAACACUAAGUGUUUAACACUAGAGGGAGAACACACACCAGGGAGGGAGGAUAGAGGGAGAACACACACCAGGGAGGGGAGGUAGAGAGAGAACACACACCAGGGAGGGAGGGUAGAGGGAGAACACAGACCAGGGAGGGGAGGUAGAGAGAGAACACACACCAGGGAGGGAGGGUAGAGGGAGAACACAGACCAGGGAGGGAGGGUAGAGGGAGAACACAGACCAGGGAGGGAAGGUAGAGAGAGAACACACACCAGGGAGGGAGGGUAGAGGGAGAACACAGACCAGGGAGGGAGGGUAGAGAGAGAACACAGACCAGGGAGGGAGGGUAGAGAGAGAACACAGACCAGGGAGGGAGGGUAGAGAGAGAACACAGACCAGGGAGGGAAGGUAGAGAGAGAACACAGACCAGGGAGGGAAGGUAGAGAGAGAACACAGACCAGGGAGGGAGGGUAGAGGGAGAACACAGACCAGGGAGGGAGGGUAGAGAGAGAACACAGACCAGGGAGGGAGGGUAGAGAGAGAACACACACCAGGGAGGGAGGGUAGAGGGAGAACACAGACCAGGGAGGGAGGGUAGAGAGAGAACACAGACCAGGGAGGGAGGGUAGAGAGAGAACACACACCAGGGAGGGAAGGUAGAGAGAGAACACAGACCAGGGAGGGAGGGUAGAGAGAGGCUAGAGGGAGAACACAGACCAGGGAGGGACGGUAGAGAGAGGCUAGAGGGAGAACACAGACCAGGGAGGGAGGGUAGAGAGAGAACACAGACCAGGGAGGGAGGGUAGAGAGAGAACACAGACCAGGGAGGGAGGGUAGAGAGAGAACACAGACCAGGGAGGGAGGGUAGAGGGAGAACACAGACCAGGGAGGGAGGGUAGAGGGAGAACACAGACCAGGGAGGGAGGGUAGAGAGAGAACACAGACCAGGGAGGGAGGGUAGAGAGAGGCUAGAGGGAGAACACACACCAGGGAGGGAGGGUAGAGAGAGAACACAGACCAGGGAGGGAAGGUAGAGAGAGGCUAGAGGGAGAACACAGACCAGGGAGGGAGGGUAGAGAGAGAACACAGACCAGGGAGGGAGGGUAGAGGGAGAACACAGACCAGGGAGGGAGGGUAGAGAGAGAACACAGACCAGGGAGGGAAGGUAGAGAGAGAACACAGACCAGGGAGGGAAGGUAGAGAGAGAACACAGACCAGGGAGGGAGGGUAGAGGGAGAACACAGACCAGGGAGGGACGCUAGAGGGAGAACACAGACCAGGGAGGGAAGGUAGAGAGAGGGUAGAGGGAGAACACAGACCAGGGAGGGAGGGUAGAGAGAGAACACAGACCAGGGAGGGAGGGUAGAGAGAGGCUAGAGGGAGAACACAGACCAGGGAGGGAGGGUAGAGAGAGAACACACACCAGGGAGGGAGGGUAGAGAGAGAACACAGACCAGGGAGGGAGGGUAGAGAGAGGCUAGAGGGAGAACACAGACCAGGGAGGGAGGGUAGAGAGAGAACACAGACCAGGGAGGGAGGGUAGAGAGAGAACACAGACCAGGGAGGGAGGGUAGAGAGAGAACACAGACCAGGGAGGGAGGGUAGAGAGAGGCUAGAGGGAGAACACAGACCAGGGAGGGAGGGUAGAGAGAGAACACAGACCAGUGAGGGAGGGUAGAUACAUCAAUACUGUAGAUUUACUGUACCAGAAACCUAGAAUGGCUUUACCCUUUGUAACUUAUUAUCUCUGAGUUAAUGAAACAUGAUUUCAGAUGUUUUCUGUCUGUUUGUUUUUGUUGAGUUAUAAAUGUCAUCCUACAGUAUGUUAUUAUCCCUGAGCCUCUGAAUAAUAAACAUGUUAAAUAACUGAUCAUAUUA